UACGGAGGGUGCGAGCGUUGUUCGGAAUUAUUGGGCGUAAAGCGCGUGUAGGCGGUCUUUUAAGUCUGAUGUGAAAGCCCCCGGGCUCAACCCGGGAAGUGCAUUGGAAACUGGGAGACUUGAAUACGGGAGAGGGUAGUGGAAUUCCUAGUGUAGGAGUGAAAUCCGUAGAUAUUAGGAGGAACACCGGUGGCGAAGGCGGCUACCUGGACCGAUAUUGACGCUGAGACGCGAAAGCGUGGGGAGCAAACAGGAUUAGAUACCCCCGUAGU
rnacentral:rRNA from 1 species